AUAGUAGUGAUAGAGGCAUUGGGGGUGACAGUGACGGUAGUAGUUCCUCGCCUGUCCCUCAGCUGGUUCCGCCCUAACUCUGUCCUUCGAUAUUCAAACUCUUCCCUUCCCUUUUUCCUAUUUCGCCUCCCUUCCCUUCACUUCCCUUUCCCCGUGUUGCCGCUGAUCGAGAGACAAGCGGCACACACGGAUUAGCAUCCCUCACCCGCCUGACCCGGGACUCGCCCGCUGAUGAAUAAUACGACGAGGACGGAAAUUCUCCCCGAAAACUACGCGUGUCCGAGCAGCGGCAAGUUAGCAGUAAAAGUCUUUCCUCUUGAAGCUUAAAGAACAGAGAAAGUUGAAAGAAUUCAUUUGCAUACUAAUUCCAUCGGCGGAGGAGCUGUGUAAUCCCACUCCCCUCACCUCCACUACCACCACAACAACAACAAGAACAACAACGACGACAAUAACAACAACAACCAUCACCAACACUACAUCACCACCGCUACCCCUAUGCAGGUGUUGGUACUUCUGAUGCAGCACAACGGAAUUACAGAACCAUAAACGAUCAACCUUUAUGAGACGUCACGACAAUAACGCGGCUGUCACCUGUCACCGAGGCCAGACCGCUAAGGAGGCCCACACCAAGGCCCACACACGCUCGGGGCCAUUCAUCUGUUGGUCCUGCGCCCAUACGCCGCCGUGCCAUCUGGCCGCGGCAUUCCCGGUUAUUAGAUAGCCCGGCAUACAUUACGCGUCCAUCGUCGUCACGGCACCCAUAAAUAAGGACGCAGGCCACUCACUCGCUGGCGUGCGUCACCUGCUGGCGGGGAUAUUAAAGCGAUGGACAGCACUGCGGGUGUGAGGCUGAGGAAGAAAGUAGAGCUGUGACUGGACAAGAAAAGUGGUGCUCUUUCUUUAGUUGAUAAUUAAAUAAAAAUAAUAAUAAUAAAAACACUCGAACAGAAGUAGCAGAUACGUUUAUUCUGGGAAAUAUGCAUCAUAAUCCCUGUAUUUGUAUGUAUAAAUAUAUAAAAUUCAUCCAGUGUGGUAGAUCAAAGUCUUCAGAGCUGACGGGAUUUAUUUAACGGUAAAUGCUGCUUCGUUGUUACAGCUAACAACCAAUAAGUCUUACAAACAAAUUGUUGACAUGGGGUCUUACUUGACUUACAGUUCUGAAUCUUAAAAAGUAAUACGAUGACCUUAAACCGGCCUAAACAUAUUUAUGAAAAUGUAUAGCAACUAAAGGCUUUUUUUAACCUAGGGAUUAAGAAACGAGCAUUGCAAAAUUUCUGUCGUGGAACAGGAUAUCAAAAAGGCUUAGAACAGCAUCAAGACAACAGCUGUGUGUAGCGGCGGAGGCGGCAUGUUAGGAGAGGUGGCGGGGGACAAGCAAGCCAUCACAUCCGCUGCUCUGGCGCGAGUUUGCGGUUUCCGGCGGCCACUAUCAUCGCAGACACCGAUAACGUGAUACCUCGACGCCGCUUUUGUCGCGGCCGGGCGAUAAGAGCCGGAACAGGGACAUGAGAGCGGACACGUAGCCGCUGAUGCCGCCCCGAUACGGCCAACCUUAGAGACUAAUCGGACCUAAGCUUCCUGUUGACACCAAGCCUCACCAGCACACCACCAGACUCACUAUGCCCUCCCCCUCCCCCUCCUCCUCCUCGCCCCACCCCACCGUCCCCGCCUUAGCGCUUCCUUUCGGGACGAAAUAACACAAAAUAUUUUGUUUCAAUCGUUUUUUUUUUAUGUAUUUCAUGCCUUCCUUCAAUACAGAAAACGUCUGGUGUGUGUUACUUGACAGUCACAUCCAUAUAGAUAGAUACCUUCAUCUCUUUAAUUCUGCUUCCUCGAUUUCUUCCUUCUAGUCGGCUAGCCGUUUUCACAACACCCAACUAUGUCUUUCGUUACCAUCCAUUUGAUUUUAUAAAGACAAAAUCUCACUGUCGACCAGAGCAUCGGUGGUUCAGUGGUAGAAUUCUCGCCUGCCACGCGGGAGGCCCGGGUUCGAUUCCCGGCCGAUGCAAGUUUUUCUUUUAAAACUUUGGAUGUGUUAAA